rnacentral:rRNA from 1 species
UACGAAGGGGGCUAGCGUUGCUCGGAAUCACUGGGCGUAAAGGGUGCGUAGGCGGGUCUUUAAGUCAGGGGUGAAAUCCUGGAGCUCAACUCCAGAACUGCCUUUGAUACUGAGGAUCUUGAGUUCGGGAGAGGUGAGUGGAACUGCGAGUGUAGAGGUGAAAUUCGUAGAUAUUCGCAAGAACACCAGUGGCGAAGGCGGCUCACUGGCCCGAUACUGACGCUGAGGCACGAAAGCGUGGGGAGAAAACAGG